ensembl:lncRNA
GGCUGGGCUCCUUACCUGAGGGCAACGUUUGAGAUGCCAACCGCAACUCUGAACAUCUGAGGAUCAAUUGUAGCUCCAAAGGUUGGGAUCAACACUGAAGAAAGCCAUGGUGAUGCCUUCCAGAAGGUUCUUCUGCCUACUAUACCACCUGGACAGGUCUUUAGAAAAUCUACUUUGCCUCCAGAUAGCAGAGAUGAUAAUGUGAAAUACACAAGCUGUGUACCAACCCGUGAGUUUGGACAAGGCUUCUGCUCGGUUGGAAGAGAAGCCCCCCAGGAAGACAAUCCUGAGAUAGGGAGGAGACCUCAAGAGGUUGCAUGUUGCACGCGGACCACUUAGGCCCAUCCAAAAUGUUGUCCUUGCAGGUCAUGGGCCUCUGAGGAGCACCUUAGUAUGAGAAGAUGCCCCUCUGAUGUGGGAAGACCCAACAUUAUUUUCGUUGGAAAGGAACUCACGGAGCUGACGUGUCAGUGGGUUCUGCCUGGAGUCAUGAGGACAACCCACAGAGUGUCUGUCCUCCAUCUGCACCUGAUAUCAACCAAUAACCAACCAUCACCAACAAUGAACACCAGCAAAAGGAACCAUGCCUAACAAGAGUCAGAGAGAAAACUUUGCUGGUCAGCUAGAAGACCAGAAGAUCUUGUGAGAGAUUGUUUUGAGAACUGCUGCUGAGCAGAGCCAUCAUACCUGCAACAGGUAGGACC